rnacentral:rRNA from 1 species
UAAGCGUGAAGCCCCCCUCAAGAUGAGAUUUCCCAUUUCUUCGGAAAGUAAGAUCCCUGAAAGAUGAUCAGGUAGAUAGGUUUGGAGUGGAAGUGUAGCGAUACAUGGAGCGGACAAAUACUAAUCGAUCGAGGACUUAACCAAAA